CUACGUUUUAAAACUAGUAUAAUUCCUUGAUAAUCGUCUCAAUGUAAAACCACAUGAAAUGGGCAGAAUGACUAUUGAGGAAAGAGCGAGAGGCGUGGGAAUGUUGGCGUCUGGAUUGUCCUUACGGCAGGUGGCACAUCACUUUCAUGGACAACUUGCAACAAUUCGAAAGAUUUGGGCAAAAAAUCAAUCAAACAAAAAGUGAUCGGGAUAUCAUCGAUGGCCCAAGUCACGUGUCACAACCAGAGAUCAACAGAUUGAAAUCAGCUACGUCAACGGCAAGACAAACAAAUAGUGUCCAUGACCGUCCAAUAUCUUCUCAAAAAAUGAGACAAAAAUCAAGGGAGCUCUGAUGGUAGGAAGAGAGUGUAUCGGCGACGAAGAGAAUGCCGUAGCGCCGUUCCCGUUGAGGAGUUGGAAUGAUUAGGUGGUGACGGUACUAUCAUGGUCUGGGCAGGAGUAUCAAUGCACGUGAGAACUCGAUUAUUUGUGUUAUCGGUGGUCUCACAUCAAGGAGAUACCAAAACGACAUUCUUAGA